rnacentral:lncRNA from 1 species
UGUGCAAAACCGGGUGCUACUGUGCAACCAGGCGUAAUACUGUAUUUUAACCACCAGGUAAUCCAACAGUUUUAACGGUAACAACUACGCCGUUAUUUAUAAAUACUCAAACUUGUCGUUUUCUUCAUCCAACAGUUAUUCUAUUAUGGGGCCCACAAAAUGGCUGCGCCGUCGUACGAAUAUUCGCCAACAGACAGAAUAUUUCAUGACCACACGAAUAUUCCCCGACAACAAUGAAUAUUUUAUAACCACUUGCUUAUUUUACAAAAUUUGCACAUUUCACCCAUAACCAAAGUAUUAUAUCAAAUUAACACCUUAUUAUUCACAAUAAUAAUUAGAGGAAAUUCGAUUUUAUUUAAAAUAAGUUGGGGUCUUACAUAAACUAGAAUCUUCUUUCUAAUUUUCAUCAAAGGAUUUUUGAGUUGUCACUAGGGGCGAGCAAUUCGGUUAUAACCGAACAGGCUAUUCGGUUAUAACCGAAAACCGAAAUGUACACAUUUUUGAAAUCGAACAAAAAAUUUAAUUUUGAGAUAACCGAAUUACCGAAUUGUAUAUUUGGGAUAAUAACUGAAAUGAAGGCUUCCAUAAUUAGCAUUCAAGUAUUUAACAAUUAACAACAUUACAAUUUACAACAGUCUGCAGAAGCAGCCAAUUCCCAAUACAUGAUUAAAUUAACAGUACAUAAUAAUUCAAAACCUUAACAUGAUUAAAAUUAACAAUACAUAAUCUAUAAUUUCACAAAUUCUAACUAUUCCAUACUAAAUUAACAGCAAGUAACAAGUAGGCAGAAGCUCAAGUAGUGCAACAGAGAACAACUAGCAAGAACUAGGCAGCACAACAGUCAACAUAUGAGUAGAAUACCAGAACCCAUAAGCCACAACCAAUUAUGCUUCGAAAACAAACAAUAAAAUUAUUAGACCAAGAAUUGCAAAUUAUGCAUCUACGAGAAAACAUAGGAAUAAUCAAAGCUUUACUAAAAUUUGAGAUUCUCAAAGGUAAACCAUAUCUUUUCUUUGGAUGCUUUGAAAUACUAAUAAACAAACAAGUGCGAAAUAAUUUAAAAAGAAAUUGGGUUGAGAUACAAUGUAAGAACUAAAAUUAAAGCAUUCAUGUAAUUCUACAUCCAGUGCAAGAGGAAGAGGGUCUUUUUGUAAGCCAUUUCCAGUUACCUACAAAAAAAGAAGAGGAAAAAAAGCAACCUUUUUCUGUGGCUCCAAAAAAUCGAACACAAUGCCCUGAUUAAAUUCGUACAAAAAAGAAUUGUAUUUUUUUCAAGCAAAAUCAUAACCGAAUUGAUGCCCAGAUGAGUAAAUUGAAGUUUGAGAAACAAGAGGAGAGAUCUAAUUCUCAAAAUUAAAAAAGGAAAAACAGACACAACCGCAGCAGUAGAUACCAGUCAAAGAGUAAUGUUAUAGUCUUCAAGGUCGAUCUACACAAACUUCAACAUUGUCUAACUAAAUUCCUUCCACGUCCACUCAGCAUUGGGUUCCUGAGAAAGAGGGAGAAAACAUAACCUAGAUGAGAGAUCUGAGAGAUGAGACUGAUCGAUUUAGGUUUUGACUUCUAAGAGAUGAGAGAUCUAAGAGAUGUUAGAUGAGAGAUGAGAUGCAGUCGACAUAUGAGACUUAUUAC